rnacentral:rRNA from 1 species
UACGUAGGUGGCAAGCGUUGUCCGGAAUUAUUGGGCGUAAGGGCGCGUAGGCGGCUUUGUAAGUCCGUUGUGAAAUCCCUCGGCUCAACCGAGGAACUGCGACGGAUACUGCUUGGCUUGAGUCCCGGAGAGGGUAGCGGAAUUCCCAGUGUAGCGGUGAAAUGCGUAGAUAUUGGGAGGAACAUCGGUGGCGAAGGCGGCUACCUGGACGGGUACUGACGCUGAUGCGCGAAAGCUAGGGGAGCAACAGG